AGAGUUUGAUCCUGGCUCAGGUUGAACGCUGGCGGCAUGCCUUACACAUGCAAGUCGAACGGCAGCACGGGAGCAAUCCUGGUGGCGAGUGGCGAACGGGUGAGUAAUAUAUCGGAACGUGCCCAGUCGUGGGGGAUAACGCAGCGAAAGCUGUGCUAAUACCGCAUACGAUCUCUGGAUGAAAGCGGGGGACUCGCAAGAGCCUCGCGCGAUUGGAGCGGCCGAUAUCAGAUUAGCUAGUUGGUGGGGUAAAAGCCCACCAAGGCGACGAUCUGUAGCUGGUCUGAGAGGACGACCAGCCACACUGGAACUGAGACACGGUCCAGACUCCUACGGGAGGCAGCAGUGGGGAAUUUUGGACAAUGGGCGAAAGCCUGAUCCAGCAAUGCCGCGUGCAGGAUGAAGGCCUUCGGGUUGUAAACUGCUUUUGUACGGAACGAAACGGUCUCUUCUAAUAAAGGAGGCUAAUGACGGUACCGUAAGAAUAAGCACCGGCUAACUACGUGCCAGCAGCCGCGGUAAUACGUAGGGUGCGAGCGUUAAUCGGAAUUACUGGGCGUAAAGCGUGCGCAGGCGGUUAUAUAAGACAGAUGUGAAAUCCCCCGGGCUCAACCUGGGACCUGCAUUUGUGACUGUAUAGCUAGAGUACGGUAGAGGGGGAUGGAAUUCCGCGUGUAGCAGUGAAAUGCGUAGAUAUGCGGAGGAACACCGAUGGCGAAGGCAAUCCCCUGGACCUGUACUGACGCUCAUGCACGAAAGCGUGGGGAGCAAACAGGAUUAGAUACCCUGGUAGUCCACGC
rnacentral:rRNA from 1 species